rnacentral:lncRNA from 1 species
CACAGAUUAACAAUUUUUUAGGUCACACAUUAUUUUUUUGUCACAAUUUAUAUUUUUUAUUGGUUACAUAUUAUUUAUUGAUCACAGUUAACUAAAUAAUUUGUGACCACCACUAAUACUUACGACCAUCGCCUCAUCACCACCACCACCGUCGUAAACAGAACCACCACGACCACCUUAAACAAAUCAAUCCAUAGUAGAAAACACCACCACGUCGUCAACGCCAGUUCCACCACCAAGAAAAAAAAUUAUUACAGUAAUCGCUACCGUCACAACAACAAAUUGAACCCAAAUUUCCUAGAUCUCUUGUUCAUCCACCGCCACUUGCACUGCCUACAUUAUGACCACCAACACCAAUGCCAAGCUAUGACUACCAAAAACUACCACUAAUUCCUCGCCACCGUGAAAUCACUGCAAAAUAAAUCCAAAAUUAGAAGUGACAACCACUGCUACGACCACCUCCGGAGCCAACGUCACCAACAAAUCGAAUUCAAAACUGCUAGCAUCCCACAAUCGCCAUCAUUACUCCAGCUCACCGUCAUCGUUGUCGCCAUCCCAAAUCACUGACGCAGAUCCGCAAGCACUUUAAAACUGAUACCAAUAGCACACCUGAACCAACACCACACCCAAACCACCACAGCAGCACACCCAAACCACUAUACCAACAGCGAUGAUUUUAGAUUUUAGAAACUUCCAAAAUCGAUACCGACACAGAUCUGCAAAGCCUUGCAGUGAUAAUUGGAGCAUGGUGUCGGACAGCCUUGCGCCGAAGAGGCGACGGAGAAGGGAGGAAGAGGAAGGAGAGGGGGGGUGAGAGAGAGUUACGGGUUUGGUGAGUAGUGGGAAAGGUUUUGAU